rnacentral:rRNA from 1 species
CUACGUGCCAGCAGCCGCGGUAAUACGGAAGGUCCAGGCGUUAUCCGGAUUUAUUGGGUUUAAAGGGAGCGUAGGCCGGAGAUUAAGUGUGUUGUGAAAUGUAGACGCUCAACGUCUGACUUGCAGCGCAUACUGGUUUCCUUGAGUACGCACAACGUUGGCGGAAUUCGUCGUGUAGCGGUGAAAUGCUUAGAUAUGACGAAGAACUCCGAUUGCGAAGGCAGCUGACGGGAGCGCAACUGACGCUUAAGCUCGAAGGUGCGGGUAUCGAACAGGAUUAGAUACCCUGGUAGUCCGCACAGUAAACGAUGGAUGCCCGCUGUUGGUACCUGGUAUCAGCGGCUAAGCGAAAGCAUUAAGCAUCCCACCUGGGGAGUACGCCGGCAACGGUGAAACUCAAAGGAAUUGACGGGGGCCCGCACAAGCGGAGGAACAUGUGGUUUAAUUCGAUGAUACGCGAGGA